rnacentral:rRNA from 1 species
AUAUAAAUAAUUUGUUUAAUUUAAGUCAAACUUCCAAGAAAAGCUCUUAUUACUGUUAAAUUAAAAUAACCUGUACCCUAAACUGACACAAGUAGGUAGGUAGAGAAUACUAAGGGGCGCGAGAUAACUCUCUCUAAGGAACUCGGCAAAAUGGCCCCGUAACUUCGGGAGAAGGGGUGGUGUUAUUUUCUAAAUAACUCCCGCAGUGACCAGGCCCAGGCGACUGUUUAUCAAAAACACAGGUCUCCGCAAAGUCGUAAGACAAUGUAUGGGGGCUGACGUCUGCCCAGUGCCGGAAGGUAAAAGAAGUUGGUUAUUCUUUAGAAAAAGCUGACGACUGAAGCCCCGGUGAGCGGCGGCUGUAACCCUGACAGUCCUAAGGUAGCGAAAUUCCUUGUCGAGUAAGUUUCGACCCGCACGAAAGACGUAACGAUCUGGGCACUGUCUCGGAGAGAGACUCGGUGAAAUAGAAAUGUCUGUGAAGAUGCGGACUACUUAUACCAGGACAGAAAGACCCUAUGAAGCUUGACUGUAAUUUGGAAUUGAGUUCGGGCUUUUUUUGCGCAGUCUAGGUGGGAGGCAUUGAUGUAAAAUUUUUGGAUUUUAUGGAGCCAAAAUUGAGAGACCACCCUAAAAAGGCUAGAAUUCUAAUAGGACUCCUUGAAUCAGGAUCCUUGACAGUUUCAGAUGGACAGUUUGACUGGGGCGGUGAUCUCCUAAAAGGUAACGGAGAUGUGCAAAGGUUCUCUCAGGCUGGACGGAAAUCAGCUAUAGAGUGUAAAGGUAGAAGAGAGCUUGACUGCAAGACCAACAAGUCGAGCAGGGGCGAAAGCCGGCCUUAGUGAUCCGACGGUUCCGAGUGGAAGGGCCGUCGCUCAACGGAUAAAAGUUACUCUAGGAUAACAGGCUGAUCUCCCCCAAGAGUUCACAUCGACGGGGAGGUUUGGCACCUCGAUGUCGGCUCAUCGCAACCUGGGGCUGGAGUCGGUCCCAAGGGUUGGGCUGUUCGCCCAUGAAAGCGGUACGUGAGCUGGGUUCAGAACGUCGUGAGACAGUUCGGUCCAUAUCCGGUAUAAGCGUAAGAGCAUUGAGAGGAUCUCAACAUUGUACGAGAGGACCCGAAGGGACGUACCUAUGGUGUACCAGUUCUUAUGCCAAUAAGAAACGCUGGGUAGCUAUGUACGGAGUGGAUAAUCGCUGAAAGCAUUUAAGUGAGAAGCCCACCUCAAGAUGAGUGCUCUCUAUUAGAUCACGGCAAGACAAGCCGGUACAUUGGUAUCAAGUGUAAGAUUAGUAAUAAUUUGAGCUGAGAUAUACAAACGACC